GACGAACGCUGGCGGCGUGCUUAACACAUGCAAGUCGAACGGAAAGGCCCUGCUUUUGUGGGGUGCUCGAGUGGCGAACGGGUGAGUAACACGUGAGUAACCUGCCCUUGACUUUGGGAUAACUUCAGGAAACUGGGGCUAAUACCGGAUAGGAGCUCCUGCUGCAUGGUGGGGGUUGGAAAGUUUCGGCGGUUGGGGAUGGACUCGCGGCUUAUCAGCUUGUUGGUGGGGUAGUGGCUUACCAAGGCUUUGACGGGUAGCCGGCCUGGGAGGGUGACCGGCCACAUUGGGACUGAGAUACGGCCCAGACGCCUACGGGAGGCAGCAGGGGGGAAUAUUGCACAAUGGGCGGAAGCCUGAUGCAGCAACGCCGCGUGCGGGAUGACGGCCUUCGGGUUGUGAACCGCUUUCGCCUGUGACGAAGCGUGAGUGACGGUAAUGGGUAAAGAAGCACCGGCUAACUACGUG
rnacentral:rRNA from 1 species